GUCAGCUGUUGUUAUUCGAAAAGUAUGUCGAAUGACUGACUCCCUCUUACAACAGCAGCCUUUGUAACUCGAGAAAUGAGAACACGUCAUAAUACAUAAUGGCAAUAUUUACAGUACUGUAUUAUGAUUGGCAAGUUUGAUGCUGUUGUUAACAAAUGUACAUAGGUAGGUUGGUUCAUGGUUGAGAUGAAAGCAAUGCAAGUAAGUACAUUUUGAUAGACUCCCACAUUUACCAAAACCCUUUUUUCAUGACCAUACAUUAAAAUAAGUAGGUUUGUACGCUUGUGUUUCACGGUGAAGUAAAACAAAGUGUAAGUAAAAGUUCGCAGCCAUUUCAUAAAUGCGCGACGAAUGUGGCCCUAUUUCGUGAAUCACUAGGUCGGAGGUAUUCUCAUGGUGACGUUAGCCGCAUCACAACUCGUGUAUAACUACCACCCGCAACCCCCUUCCAACUCCAAACUCUUUAUUGAUGCCGUUUUACUGUGCUGCGUUGGUUAACGGUUCGGUUUCGUCAAAAUUUAUUUUUCCUGAAUCUCUUAUUAGGUUACUUUAAUUUUAGAACUGACGAAUGAUAGCUAAGACUAAUAUGUAACAGGUCUCGUGUGACGAAUGUAGUAUGGAAGUAGUUUAAAUUGAUCAGAUAAAGUAGCUAUCUUACGUUACCUGCUAGCUUGUCUUUCGACGCCUACAUGAUUUGUUGCCUCAGCUUUUUUUUUUGCGAUUGUUGCUUUUACUCGAGUACUGAAUUGCUUACGAUUCGUAUGCAAUAAGAUUAACAUUAUAGCUAUAAGAAACGAUCAAGCUGACGUGUCCAUUAUGAAAGCCACAACAAGGUUAUCGUUAGGUGGCAGGGUAUUGUUAUUAUCAUCGUCAGUUACGUAGUUUAACACAAAAGAAUGCUUAUUUCAGCUGAGUUGGCAUCUCUACGCUAAGUAACAGCGAAAAUGUCACAUUUGUUAAUAACUACGGUACCUAGUCAAGAAGGCUUUACCAAACAAAAUGCGCGUGUUGUGGCGCAGUUGUAGGCCUGAUAAAAAAAAUCGCGGCGUGUCACGAUGUAGUGGAGAAAUGGCUGCCCGGGUGAUUCAGUACUGGUGCAGCUAUCUGAAGUUAAAAAAAAAAUGAAGAUCAUGAAAGAAUCAGGUUGUAUAAGUGUCAUUGAAAGAACCAAGUUACAAGACCAGAACCUUAUGAAAGGAGUGAAGCCGUUCGAAUAGCCAGCUAAAUAUUUGAAUAGAAGUUGAGCGUAGGUCCCACACAUCCGAGGCAGUAUAGCUACUUCGAUGCGUAUAGUAUUUUGUUAACCUAAAAUGAAGACUAGUUUACAAGAGGAGAAUUUUGAAUCCUUGGGAAUGGGCAGUAAAAUAUACCACUUACAAGACGAGCAUCAUAUGAAGAAAUGAGAAUGGCUAGCUAAAUAUUUGAAGAUCAAGUUGAACGUAUGUCCCUUAAACUGCCUCGGAUAUAUCUACUUCAAUGCGUUAGAAGUGUUUAUUUUAGUUGGUUGCGCAUCAGGAAAUACAAUUUAUAGUGGGUAAGGAACCAAGGAAAAAUGACUUUGGUUUUAUGUAAACUGAAUAAGUGCUGGUAGUUUGUCUCAUCAGUGUAGGCAACAUGUGAAAUAACCAAGUUACUGAUCUUGAACCAUAUGAGAAGUUGUGAAGCCUCUUGAAUAGCCAACUGCAUAUUGGAAGUUGGGCUGCAGUUGCUUUUGAGUAAUUUUUAUAUAUUUUUGUAGCCUGAAGUGAAGUACAAUAUGUGCUUAAGUUGUGAGACCUUACUUCAAUAGCAAACUAAAUAUUGGAAGAUAAUUUAGGCCAACAGUGGCUGUUUGUCAGUCAUUUAAGCUGCUUCAAGAAGUAAAAAUGUUUUGAGCCUAAAAUGAACAAGAUGUGCUGCGGAUUUCAUUUCCAAGUACAGCAGUUGCUUUGAUAGCACUAGCGGUAGUUCAAGGAGUUGCAGGCUAGUGACGUUGCUUUGUCACGCUUCAGAUCUGAUAAACUUUUUCUAAACACAAUUGGCUCUAGUUGGUGAAGAAAAGAAGAUUUUUCUGUAGAAGAAUGGACUGAGUUUGAGUUUUUUUUUAAAGUGCUGUGGGGGCACUUAGCUAGUAGGCAGUUUGUGAUCAGACGAGGAAGGACGACUUCAGGAUCAGGCAAGGACCAGGCAGAGGGAAUCUGGGCGGACCAGGCAGAGGGAAUCUGGGCGGACCAGGCAGAGGGAAUCUGGGCGGACCAGGCAGAGGGAAUCUGGGAGGACCAGCGGGGAGCCAGGCAGGAUCCAGGUGGAUCGCGGGAGGAGCAGAUGGGAACCAGUUGAGCGAGCGGAAUGCAGCAGAGUUUUCAUCAAAGGGAGCGAGCCAGGUGGCAGGGUAGCGAGCAUCCCAGAGUGAGCUGAGAGCGGAGCAGUCCCAGGUCGAGUGUUGCCCUAAAGCAGCCAGUGGGUCCCAGCAGCAAUGAGGUGACGAGUAAAAGGGCCAACUAGCUUCGCAAGUGACAAGUGUUUGUAUGAUGGGUAGCGGUAUACAGUAAUGUUUAACUAGGCCAAAAAUCUUUGAAAUUAGUCAAUGUUAAAUCUGUCAACACAUUUGCUCGCGAAGUUUUCUUCCUCUUUCAGGCAAUGGUAAAGUGUUAAUUUUCCUGGUUGCGGCCCUUUCCUGUGUGAUGUCUGCUGUGAUGAGUCCCCCUUGGCCUACUUGGUAGAGUGCACUGGCGAGAGGACUGUCUUAAAGGAUUUCACCCUCCUGCAGCGCAGAUGUAGUACCCCCCCUGGGCGGAGGCGUUUCUUCUUCAUUGAGUUCAAUAGGUCUACCCCCGAGAAGUGGUCUACAUGGGAGUGUUGAGAGUCGAAAUUCUUCUGUACGUUCGUACCACAACGCAGCUUUGGUGCUGAGCAGCUACAUCUGCUGGUUAAAGCUCGCACCUUAAAGCAAACCUGACCAUCCAAGGGAGUCCCUCUUUAGUACUGCCCGCCACAUUAAUCAAAACGGUUGAGCACGUCCCGUAACAGAUAAUUCUAAGGAUGGAUCAAGGGAAACCUCUGGUGUUAAAAUCAUGUAGGAAGCUUCGUGUAAAGCAGCGUUUUAAAGAUCCAAAUGGCUAGCGUUGAGGUUUGAGGAGCAAGGAAUCAACCCGGUGGUCCACAUCUUUCAGGUUUCCUUUUGCCUUGUGGUGUGGAUAUUCCUUGGUGUCUACAAUGGUGUAGCAGGAGGCGGGCCACAUUUUGGGAUGUGAACUUGCGGUGUUCUCCCAGGGAGUGUGGUAACCCUUAACUUUUAGGCUGAUGCAUUUUAUAUCCUGGAGUUGAAAUUUGCAUUUGGUUUCUGGGGUCAGGGGAGAGCUUAACUGUGACUCUUCCAGAUUAUGACCCACCCCUCAAUGAAAGAAACUGGAGAUCUACAUCUCCCUCGUCUUAAGGAGAACAGCUGAUGCCUUGAGGCCAGUGGUAUUUAACUGUUUCUUGUGGAAAGUUAUUGAUUUGGUGUUAGUGAAUUUGUGUUAAUUGUAUUUUAGCAACUGUUAAUACAAUUUUGAUAGUGGGUUGGUUACUGUCUGGGUUUGUAUGGGUGGGAAUGGUGGAAGUCUUGUUUUCCCUUUUGCGUUUUCCAGUGUGCUGUGUCCUACUGCGCUUUCAAUACUGAAGAUCAACAGGAACGCCCCUAACGCAUUGUAUGUAAAGGUUUACUAUUGCUUCAAAACACCACGUUGGGUCUCAAUGUUUUCACAUUUUAUAUUUCAUUAAUGACAUUUUGCAACUUGCCUUAAUUGCUCUCCUUUGCAAAUUAGUUAAAUGUUUUGUAUUGAUGCAACUGAACUCUGUCAAGGAAUGAUAAUUGGUAAUAAAUACAUAGCUUGUUGUGAUUGAAGACAGUUUUGGUAUGCAUUUGUUAUUCUGGGGGACUCUUGUGUGGGGGCUUUUCUUGUGCUUUUUCAGGUAUGACUUAGCUUGGUGCUUUUAGAUCACGGAAGUGACCUGGGCCUGAUGGCAGCUCUUACAAGGUGGAAAGUGAAGGUUUCAGAUAAGUUCAAUCCAGCUUGUAUCAUGUCCAAAAGUGGGAAAAUUCAUGACAUGCCGCCUGGUUGUCUGAAUGGGCCCCAUUGCUGCCUCAGUUGAUUGGUCUUCAAUAGAGACGCAUCUACUUAGCAAUACGACUCUGCCACUACUUGUGGUAUGUAGAAGUUGCACUGCUGUGCUUUCACUGAGUGCAAAUCUCUUCUGGUGGAGACUUUUCAACUCAAAAUGUUAUGCUAAUUAUAAAGCAUAUUUUGUCUACGGGUAACAAAUGUCAGUGCUGUGAGGGUGGGUAUAGGGCUGUUUGUUUUUGAUCUUUCAGAAUUACAAAAGCCCAAAUGAAGACUGCCUUCUACCCGUGACAUGACCACAGGAAUCGCCCCUCCUUUGAACUCCUCUACACAGGCAGGACAGUUUGAACACCUUCAUUACAUUAGACCAUUUCUAGUUUGCUUUUGGCUCUCAGCUACCUGCACUUGUGCAACUGUGCAAGCAGUCUUGUAUCGUAGUAGCCUUUCAUUCCUCUUCAACUGUAUAGCAUAUUUGGUUUUCCUUUGUAGCUGUCGUGCAACUGUGACAGCGUUCCCAAAUUAAGGUAGCUGAGGAACACUGCGCAACUGUGCAGCUGUAAUUUGGACUGCAAUUGUUUUGCUUUUGGAUUGGUAGAUGAGGGUUGGGAGGAGAAUUCUGCACUUUUUCUCUACAGAAAUCUGAGUGCGUCUUGGUGAAGCACGAAUGAAGUCUUCUAACCUGCCGCACGUAGUAAGGUGUUGGUGUACCUUUUCAGUCUUCAUUUCAUAUCAAACUCCAGACCCCUGCCAUGUUUUAGUUUGGUUCAAUGGACAUCUUCAACUGGCUUCCUGUUAACCUCCUAUCGUUAAUAACCAUCAUCAAGCCAUGCUUUUACCAGCAUAUGCCCCUUUCUUUGGCUCAGAGCCCUACUGCUUUGCAUCUUUAAAGUAAGUUGAGUAAAAUGUAUGUUGUGAGUACUGUGGUGGUUUGUGUAGAAACCUUUGUUUCAGAUCAUUAUCUUGUAUCACUGUCCGCUGACUGCGCCUCCAUCUGAAUGUAACGCCGUCGCAGGAAACUCGACAAAUGAAUGUGGCCCCUGAAUGAAGUAUCUACCCUCUGCGCUUGAGCUUAGUCAAACCUCUCCACUCGACGGUCUUCAGUCUCUUCUCUCUCUGUGCUGUCUGUGCUCCUUUCCUUUCCCCCUUUUGGUUUCUCAGGUGACAAUUUCUCAUCCGACGUAAAAUUGUCAUGAAUUGGCAUUCGUUAUCUGCCUCUAACUGCGUGAUGGAACACUGAGAACCCAGUCACUUUCAGAUCAAGAGCCACAAGCUUGUCUUGCUGAAAAUUGAGCAUCACUUCAGUUUCUUGGUUACUAAGUUAAGUCAUUUUGGUUCCCUUUUGCUUUUGAACACACCAUGGCUAUGUUUUAACACAACCUUUUGACUCUGCAUGCAUAUCAGCUCUGCAUAACAUUUUGAAUUUCAAAAUGCGCAACAUAACUUUCAUAUAGUUAAUGUGUAAAAUAGGCACAUACCAGUAGGUGUUGGGAGGGUGGGGGCAACACUUUCUUCCUUCCUUUCAGGUAUCUCUUGAGUGAACUUGUCGUUACUGGGUGCUUGCAGCUGCAGGGAGUCACGGGAAGUGUCUUGGUUUGAUCCAGUUCUAGGAAGUUGAGAGCAUCAGUGUAGAGAAACUGGUUGGUUGUGGUUUGUACUGUUUCUGUCAGUCACAGUAAAUUACAUCUUAAAAUAUUUUCUAUUUCAGGGAUAUGUUUUGGGGGGGGGGUGUAAUUGUUCCUCUUUUGUCUUUACAGCUUCAAAUCUAAGAGCUCAAUCCUUGCAAGUUUGACUGACCUCUGGACCAAUGUCAGUGAUAAGAUCUACACUUACGUUGUGAAUUUGUCUUACUGUUAUCAUGGAUGAAAUGUAGUAAUGUGGAAUUGCUCUAAUGGCAUUAAGUGUCUUCCUGGGGUUUGCUGGGGAUGGGGGGAAACAAGUUGUCUUUUCCUCUAGUUUCAGGCUUGCGACGAUGCUAAAGUCCUCAGGUUCGUGUAGAGCAGCAGGUGCUAAGGGUUUUUCUUUUCCUGGGGGAACAAACCCUCUGGUUUUUGUUCUUCCAGGUUUUGCUUUUUGUCCUUGCGCAAAAAAAGCAAAAGACUCCGGUGGUGGCACUCCUGAUAGUCCUCAGGACGGGGUUCAAUUCCCUGCGGCGUCUUUGCUUUUCUCAACCUGCUGCUUAGUUGGGUAAGCUAGUUAAAACAGGAACCUAGGUAGUUAAAAUAAUUUAUAGGGUCAUAUUGCGAUUUUUAAAUGACGCGAGCAGAGCUCAGCUUCUUAUUAGCUAGCUAACAUUAGCUUUAUUAUAUCUAUAUAGUGUUAGGUGUACUGUUUUGAAAUAACAUUCUUUAUAUUGAUUUGAUUGUAUACAUAGUCUUAGCAAGCUCUUUGGCAGCAAGCUAAGCAUUUUUAGCUAUAAUAUUUAGCUAGCUUGCUUUGCAAAUGUUAGCCUAGUUAGCUAGCUAGCAUCAAGUGUUGGUGAUAGAAAAAUGGCCGUAGAAGCAACUCGAGCUUAGUUUAGAAGACUUGACUUUUCAAUUCAUUUUGAGGCACCUGUAGAACAAGGAGCUAGUUAGCAAAGAUUUUUUCUGUGCCCUUGGUGUACAACAAACUCCCUCACGACGCCAGGACAGCGGAGUCAAUCAUCACCUUCCAGAGACACCUGAAACCCCACCUCUUUAAGGAAUACCUGGGAUAGGUAUAUAGAUGUACUAUUGUAAAGUGGUUGUUCCACUGGAUAUCAUAAGGUGAAUGCACCAAUUUGUAAGUCGCUCUGGAUAAGAGCGUCUGCUAAAUGACGUAAAUGUACAUCAUUGAAGUGUAUCGUCUUAAAUUGACAGUUGCCAUAGUUAUUGAGGCUUUUUAGUAUGCGCCCCUUGUGGGAACACAACCAAAUAUUAACUGUUCCAAAAAUGUUUCUACUUAGGCUUGCUUGCCAACCCAUAAAUGUUAGUUAGAAGAAACUGGUUUCUAAUGGAAUUUAUUUUGUUUAGUCUAUUGGUUGAGACAUGACUUGUAGUUCAGGAGAUGAGUUUAAUUUACUUUAAGUUAUGAAUAAAAUCUAUGAACUGUACAAAA
rnacentral:lncRNA from 1 species